AGAGUUUGAUCCUGGCUCAGGAUGAACGCUAGCGGCAGGCCUAAUACAUGCAAGUCGAACGAUGCUUGUUAGCAAUAACAAGUAUAGUGGCGCACGGGUGCGUAACACGUAUGCAACCUACCUUUAACAGGGGGAUAGCCCGGGGAAACCCGGAUUAAUACCCCGUAUGGUGUGAUAUUGGCAUCUAUAUUACAUUAAAGUUACGAUGGUUAAAGAUGGGCAUGCGUCUGAUUAGUUAGUUGGUGAGGUAACGGCUCACCAAGACGAUGAUCAGUAGGGGACCUGAGAGGGUGAUCCCCCACACUGGCACUGAGAUACGGGCCAGACUCCUACGGGAGGCAGCAGUAGGGAAUAUUGGGCAAUGGUGGAGACACUGACCCAGCCAUGCCGCGUGCAGGAAGACGGCCUUCUGGGUUGUAAACUGCUUUUAACUGGGAAUAAACGACCCUUGCGAGGGGCAUUGAAUGUACCAGAGGAAUAAGCACCGGCUAACUCCGUGCCAGCAGCCGCGGUAAUACGGAGGGUGCAAGCGUUGUCCGGAUUUAUUGGGUUUAAAGGGUGCGUAGGCGGCUUAGUAAGUCAGUGUUUAAAGUCAACAGCUCAACUGUUGGAAUGGCAUUGAUACUGCUGAGCUUGAGUAAAGUUGAGGUAGGCGGAAUUGAUGGUGUAGCGGUGAAAUGCAUAGAUAUCAUCAAGAACAUCGAUUGCGAAGGCAGCUUACUAAGCUUUAACUGACGCUGAGGCACGAAAGCGUGGGGAUCAAACAGGAUUAGAUACCCUAGUAGUCC
rnacentral:rRNA from 1 species